CAGCAGCCGCGGUAAUACGAAGGGGGCUAGCGUUGUUCGGAAUUACUGGGCGUAAAGCGCACGUAGGCGGAUCGAUCAGUCAGGGGUGAAAUCCCAGGGCUCAACCCUGGAACUGCCUUUGAUACUGUCGAUCUGGAGUAUGGAAGAGGUGAGUGGAAUUCCGAGUGUAGAGGUGAAAUUCGUAGAUAUUCGGAGGAACACCAGUGGCGAAGGCGGCUCACUGGUCCAUUACUGACGCUGAGGUGCGAAAGCGUGGGGAGCAAACAGGAUUAGAUACCCCCGUAGUCCCUGUCUCUUAUAC
rnacentral:rRNA from 1 species